rnacentral:rRNA from 1 species
GAGCACCACCAUUCUUCGGCCUGGUGGCAGAGCCGCGAACGGGUGAGUACACGUGGGUAACGUGCCCCGAUGAUCGGGACAACCGAGGAAACUCGGGCUAAUACCGAAUGUGCCCUCCGUGCCACAAGGCCGCUGGGGAAAGGAAGCUUCGGCCUCCGCAUCGGGAUCGGCCCGCGGCCCAUUAGCUUGUUGGUGGGGUAACAGCUCACCAAGGCUACGAUGGGUAUCUGGUCUGAGAGGACGAUCAGCCACUCUGGGACUGAGACACUGCCCAGACUCCUACGGGAGGCAGCAGUGGGGAAUCUUGCGCAAUGCGCGAAAUCGUGACUCAUCAACGCCGCGUGGGGGAAGAAGGCCUUCGGGUUGUAAACCCCUUUCAGUUGGGACGAAGCCUCGUCGGUUAACAGUCGGCUGAGGUGACGGUACCUUCAUAAGAAUCCCCGGCUAACUACGUGCCAUCAGCCGCGGUAAU